rnacentral:piRNA from 1 species
GGCCUGUGCAACUGUGACCUUGCCUCUG